CGGAUGAACGCUGGCGGCGUGCCUAACACAUGCAAGUCGAGCGUGAACCGUCUGAAUGAAACUUCGGUCGAGUGAGGAUGGGGAAAGCGGCGGACGGGUGAGUAACGCGUAGGCAACCUGCCCCGUACAGAGGGAUAGCCUCGGGAAACCGGGAUUAAGACCUCAUAAUACCAUUAUCUCACAUGUGAUAAUGGUCAAAGAUUUUAUCGGUAUGGGAUGGGCCUGCGUCUGAUUAGCUGGUUGGUGGGGUAACGGCUCACCAAGGCGACGACCAGUAGCCGACCUGAGAGGGUAAUCGGCCACAUUGGAACUGAGACACGGUCCAAACUCCUACGGGAGGCAGCAGUGGGGAAUAUUGCACAAUGGGCGAAAGCCUGAUGCAGCAACGCCGCGUGAGCGAGGAAGGCCUUUGGGUCGUAAAGCUCUGUCGAGGAGGAAGAUAAUGACGGUACUCCUCGAGGAAGCCCCGGCUAACUACGUG
rnacentral:rRNA from 1 species